AUUGAACGCUGGCGGCAGGCUUAACACAUGCAAGUCGAGCGGGGGAAGGUAGCUUGCUACCGGACCUAGCGGCGGACGGGUGAGUAAUGCUUAGGAAUCUGCCUAUUAGUGGGGGACAACAUCUCGAAAGGGAUGCUAAUACCUCAUACGUCCUACGGGAGAAAGCAGGGGAUCUUCGGACCUGGCGCUAAUAGAUGAGCCUAAGUCGGAUUAGCUAGUUGGUGGGGUAAAGGCCUACCAAGGCGACGAUCUGUAGCGGGUCUGAGAGGAUGAUCCGCCAAACUGGGACUGAGACACGGCCCAGACUCCUACGGGAGGCAGCAGUGGGGAAUAUUGGACAAUGGGGGGAACCCUGAUCCAGCCAUGCCGCGUGUGUGAAGAAGGCCUUAUGGUUGUAAAGCACUUUAAGCGAGGAGGAGGCUACUUUAGUUAAUACCUAGAGAUAGUGGACGUUACUCGCAGAAUAAGCACCGGCUAACUCUGUGCCAGCAGCCGCAGUAA
rnacentral:rRNA from 1 species